AAUUGGUUCUUCACUCGGAAGUAUUUCAUUGAACAUAUGCAAAAUCAAAUUAUAUAAGCUAUGAUCAGAUAGAGUAUGAUGAUGCGCGCUGAGAGUGAGAGUGCUUCAGAGGCUGGAGACAUUGGUGAUCGAGCACUUUCAAGUAGAAGGUUCAGUGAGAGAAGCAGAUUCACUUUGUCAUUUCACCACAGGUCAGAGCAUGGAGCUUAAUUUUGAGAGGCUGCAUCAGAGUUUGGAAGUCAUGAAGAGAAUUUAAUGUUUGAUGCAGGUCAAUACCGGGGAUUAUAAUACUGUUGUAGCAGGACUAGAGUUUUGUUGGAUGUUUGAGCACUGUGUCAACUUUUUCUGCAGUUCAAUGCAAUGAGAGAAAGCCUAAAUUCUUGGAGAGCCUAUGUCUAUGCUAUCAUCACAAUAUGUGUCUCAUUCUUUGUUGGAAUCUUAAUGUAUUGCGUUCCUCCGAAUUUUACAUGAGGGGACAAAAAAGAAACAGAGAAACUCAAAAAAAUGGGGGUGGGGUUGUCAAGAGAGUUCAAAGCUUAUCAAAAGCCUGGUCACAGAACAAACCUGGUGCUAUUAUCAUCACAAUAGAGCUAAUGUAUGAAAUAAAAUUUCAAUAGCUUGAAGACCUAAUUGGAUUGCCAUAGAGUGAAAUAAAUUUUUCAUGGAGUUCCUUUAUAA